UUGAUUCGUAUCUCGCUGGCAUUGUUGU
rnacentral:piRNA from 1 species